rnacentral:rRNA from 1 species
GAUGAACGCUGGCGGCGUGCCUAAUACAUGCAAGUCGAACGGAAGGGCGCGGAGCUUGCUUCUCUGUUGUUAGCGGCGGGCGGGUGAGUAACGCGUGGAUAACCUACCUAUAAGACUGGGAUAACUUCGGGAAACCGUAGCUUAUACCGGAUAAUCUUUUGAACCGCAUGGUUCAAAAGUGAAAGACGGUCUUGCUGUCACUUAUAGAUGGUUCCGCGCUGCAUUAGCUAGUUGGUAAGGUAACGGCUUACCAAGGCAACGAUGCCUAGCCGACCUGAGAGGGUGAUCGGCCACACUGGAACUGAGACACGGUCCAGACGCCUACGGGAGGCAGCAGUAGGGAAUCGGCCGCAGUGGGCGAAAGCCUGACGGAGCAGCGGCGCGCCAGUGAUGGAGGUGUUCGGAUCGUAAUGCUCUGUUACUAGUGAAGAACAGAUUUGGAAUUAACUGUGCAGAUCGUGACGGUACCUAAUCAGAAAGCCCCGGCUAACUACGUG